GCCUCGGUAGCUCAGUUGGUAGAGCAGUUGACUCUUAAUCAAUUGGUCCCAGGUUCGAAUCCUGGCCGGGGCA
rnacentral:tRNA from 1 species